AUACGGAGGAUGCGAGCGUUAUCCGGAUUCAUUGGGUUUAAAGGGUGCGUAGGCGGAAGGAUAAGUCAGGGGUGAAAGUUUGCCGCUCAACGGUAAAAUUGCCUUUGAUACUGUUUUUCUUGAGUGAAGGCGAGGUAUGCGGAAUGAGUAGUGUAGCGGUGAAAUGCUUAGAUAUUACUCAGAACACCGAUUGCGAAGGCAGCAUACUAGAGUUUAACUGACGCUGAUGCACGAAAGCGUGGGUAGCGAACAGAAUUAGAAACCCGUGUAGUCC
rnacentral:rRNA from 1 species